GACGAACGCUGGCGGCGUGCUUAACACAUGCAAGUCGAACGAGAGCGUAGAGAAAGCUUGCUUUUUCUACAAUCUAGUGGCAAACGGGUGAGUAACGCGUAAACACCCUGCCCUACGGAUGGGGUCACCAGCUGGAAACGGCUGCUAAUACCGAAUACGCUCCGAAAGUCGCUUGACUAUCGGAAGAAAGGAUGGCCUCUAUUUAUAAGCUAUCGCCGGUGGUGGGGUUUGCGUCUGAUUAGCUAGGUGGAGGGGUAACGGCCAAUCAAGGCGACGAUCAGUAACCGGUCAGAAAGGAGGAACGGCCAAAUUGGAACGGGAGGACGGUCCAGAAUCCUGCGGGAGGGAGCAGGGGGGGAUUCUUCGGGAAGGGCGAAAGCCUGGAGGUGCCACGCCGGGUGAGGGAAGGAGGGCGUCGGGUUGUAAAAAUCUGUUAUACGGGACGAAUAAACUUGUGGUUAAUACCCAUGGGAAGUGACGGUACCGUAAGAAAAAGCCACGGCUAACUACGUG
rnacentral:rRNA from 1 species